rnacentral:rRNA from 1 species
GGUCCGAACCCACGAGCGUUGAAAAGCUCGGGGAUGACUUGUGGGUAGCGGUGAAAUUCCAAUCGAGCCCGGAGAUAGCUGGUUCUCCCCGAAAUAGCUUUAGGGCUAGCCUCAAGGUGAGAGAUACGGAGGUAGAGCACUGAAUGUCCUAGGGGGUAUUGCACCUACCGAAGACUAUCAAACUCCGAAUGCCGUCAUCUUAUACUUGGGAGUCAGACUGUGGGUGAUAAGAUUCAUAGUCGAAAGGGCAACAGCCCAGAUCGUCAGCUAAGGUCCCUAAAUGUAAGUUAAGUGGUAAAGGAUGUGGGAUUGCACAGACAACCAGGAUGUUGGCUUAGAAGCAGCCACUCAUUCAAAGAGUGCGUAAUAGCUCACUGGUCGAGUGAUCCUGCGCCGAAGAUUUCCGGGGCUAAAACUUACUACCGAAGCUACGGCAUCAGUAAUGAUGGGUAGGGGAGCUUCCCAUACGGGUUGAAGCAUGACCGUAAGGACAUGUGGACAGUAUGGGAGUGAGAAUGUUGGCAUGAGUAGCGAGAUGUGGGUGAGAAUCCCACAGGCCGUAAACCCAAGGUUUCCAGGGGAAGGUUCGUCCGCCCUGGGUUAGUCGGGACCUAAGCUGAGGCCGAAAGGCGUAGGUGAUGGACCACAGGUUGAUAUUCCUGUACUACCGAUAACCGUUUGAGAGA